UGGAGAGGUGAUGUUGAAUGGC
rnacentral:siRNA from 1 species